UACGUAGGAUGCAGGCGUUAAUCGGAAUUACUGGGCGUAAAGCGUGCGCAGGCGGUUUGCUAAGACAGGUGUGAAAUCCCCGGGCUUAACCUGGGAACUGCGCUUGUAACUGGCAAGCUUGAGUGUGGCAGAGGGGGGUGGAAUUCCACGUGUAGCAGUGAAAUGCGUAGAGAUGUGGAGGAACACCGAUGGCGAAGGCAGCCCCCUGGGCUAACACUGACGCUCAUGCACGAAAGCGUGGGGAGCAAACAGG
rnacentral:rRNA from 1 species